UACGGGGGGGGCAAGCGUUGUUCGGAAUUACUGGGCGUAAAGGGCUCGUAGGCGGCCAACUAAGUCAGACGUGAAAUCCCUCGGCUUAACCGGGGAACUGCGUCUGAUACUGGAUGGCUUGAAUCCGGGAGAGGGAUGCGGAAUUCCAGGUGUAGCGGUGAAAAUGCGUAGAUAUCUGGAGGAACACCGGUGGCGAAGGCGGCAUCCUGGACCGGCAUUGACGCUGAGGAGCGAAAGCCAGGGGAGCAAACGGGGAU
rnacentral:rRNA from 1 species